rnacentral:rRNA from 1 species
GCUCAGAUUGAACGCUGGCGGCAGGCCUAACACAUGCAAGUCGAGCGGCAGCACGGGUACUUGUACCUGGUGGCGAGCGGCGGACGGGUGAGUAAUGCCUAGGAAUCUGCCUGGUAGUGGGGGAUAACGCUCGGAAACGGACGCUAAUACCGCAUACGUCCUACGGGAGAAAGCAGGGGACCUUCGGGCCUUGCGCUAUCAGAUGAGCCUAGGUCGGAUUAGCUAGUUGGUGAGGUAAUGGCUCACCAAGGCGACGAUCCGUAACUGGUCUGAGAGGAUGAUCAGUCACACUGGAACUGAGACACGGUCCAGACUCCUACGGGAGGCAGCAGUGGGGAAUAUUGGACAAUGGGCGAAAGCCUGAUCCAGCCAUGCCGCGUGUGUGAAGAAGGUCUUCGGAUUGUAAAGCACUUUAAGUUGGGAGGAAGGGCAGUUACCUAAUACGUANCUGUUUUGACGUUACCGACAGAAUAAGCACCGGCUAACUCUGUGCCAGCAGCCGCGGUAAUACAGAGGGUGCAAGCGUUAAUCGGAAUUACUGGGCGUAAAGCGCGCGUAGGUGGUUCGUUAAGUUGGAUGUGAAAUCCCCGGGCUCAACCUGGGAACUGCAUUCAAAACUGACGAGCUAGAGUAUGGUAGAGGGUGGUGGAAUUUCCUGUGUAGCGGUGAAAUGCGUAGAUAUAGGAAGGAACACCAGUGGCGAAGGCGACCACCUGGACUGAUACUGACACUGAGGUGCGAAAGCGUGGG